rnacentral:rRNA from 1 species
UACGAAGGGUGCAAGCGUUACUCGGAAUUACUGGGCGUAAAGCGUGCGUAGGUGGUGAGUUAAGUCUGUCGUGAAAGCCCCGGGCUCAACCUGGGAAUGGCAGUGGAAACUAGGGGACUGGAAUCUGGCAGAGGGGGGUGGAAUGCCGCGUGUAGCAGUGAAAUGCGUAGGGAUGCGGCGGAACACCGAUGGCGAAGGCAGCCCCCUGGGCUGAGAUUGACGCUCAGGCACGAAAGCGUGGGGAGCAAACAGG